rnacentral:rRNA from 1 species
AGGACGAACGCUGGCGGCGUGCUUAACACAUGCAAGUCGAGCGGAAAGGCCCUUCGGGGUACUCGAGCGGCGAACGGGUGAGUAACACGUGAGUAACCUGCCCCUAGCUUCGGGAUAGCUCCGGGAAACCGGAAUUAAUACCGGAUAUGACCACGGCCGACAUCGGCCACGGUGGAAAGAUUCAUCGGCUAGGGAUGGGCUCGCGGCCUAUCAGCUUGUUGGUGGGGUAACAGCCUACCAAGGCGACGACGGGUAGCCGGCCUGAGAGGGCGACCGGCCACACUGGGACUGAGACACGGCCCAGACUCCUACGGGAGGCAGCAGUGGGAAUAUUGCGCAAUGGGCGAAAGCCUGACGCAGCGACGCCGCGUGGGGGAUGAAGGCCUUCGGGUUGUAAACCCUUUCGGCAGGGACGAAGCGAAAGUGACGGUACUGCAGAAGAAGCGCCGGCUAACUACGUGCCAGCAGCCGC